rnacentral:misc_RNA from 1 species
AUGAGUGGUGAUUGGUUUGUUACGGGUGGAUGGCUCUUUGCUCGCGCAACAACUUCCACCUGACAUACCUCUUCAGUUAUGUCUCAAGGCUUUUUUUGCCUUGAGCAUAUUGCGGUUUCAUGUGUUGCAUACCUAUUUGAUGGUAUUUAUUUGGUCGAUCGAUCGAAGUCCCUUUUCAUCUUGUGUUGCCUUUGUGAUGCAUGAUGAACCUUUGAAAUGGGCUCUAUGUCCCAUCGUGUUGGUGCAAAUGCAUCUAUGUUAUGGCCCAUUGAGCGAUACUUGGCAUCUUGGAUAUGGAACAUUAUGUGGGCAUAGAGUCUCUCAUGACUCUUGUUUGUCCUCUUCUCGUGUCCUUCAAAACGACUGUUCAUGUGCGCCUAGGCUCGGACCUGCGUGAUGUUCUUUGUCGAAGAGGAAUGC